UCGCGUCUGCCGUGAAAGUCCGGGGCUCAACUCCGGAUCUGCGGUGGGUACGGGCAGACUAGAGUGAUGUAGGGGAGACUGGAAUUCCUGGUGUAGCGGUGAAAUGCGCAGAUAUCAGGAGGAACACCGAUGGCGAAGGCAGGUCUCUGGGCAUUAACUGACGCUGAGGAGCGAAAGCAUGGGGAGCGAACAGGAUUAGAUACCCUGGUAGUCCAUGCCGUAAACGUUGGGCACUAGGUGUGGGGGACAUUCCACGUUUUCCGCGCCGUAGCUAACGCAUUAAGUGCCCCGCCUGGGGAGUACGGCCGCAAGGCUAAAACUCAAAGGAAUUGACGGGGGCCCGCACAAGCGGCGGAGCAUGCGGAUUAAUUCGAUGCAACGCGAAGAACCUUACCAAGGCUUGACAUGAACCGGAAACGCCUGGAAACAGGUGCCCCACUUGUGGUCGGUUUACAGGUGGUGCAUGGUUGUCGUCAGCUCGUGUCGUGAGAUGUUGGGUUAAGUCCCGCAACGAGCGCAACCCUCGUUCUAUGUUGCCAGCACGUGAUGGUGGGGACUCAUAGGAGACUGCCGGGGUCAACUCGGAGGAAGGUGGGGACGACGUCAAAUCAUCAUGCCCCUUAUGUCUUGGGCUUCACGCAUGCUACAAUGGCCGGUACAAAGGGUUGCGAUACUGUGAGGUGGAGCUAAUCCCAAAAAGCCGGUCUCAGUUCGGAUUGGGGUCUGCAACUCGACCCCAUGAAGUCGGAGUCGCUAGUAAUCGCAGAUCAGCAACGCUGCGGUGAAUACGUUCCCGGGCCUUGUACACACCGCCCGUCAAGUCACGAAAGUUGGUAACACCCGAAGCCGG
rnacentral:rRNA from 1 species